rnacentral:rRNA from 1 species
ACUGAUGCUAGAGCGGGAGUGAGCGGCUAGCUCAAUUUGAUCUCGGCACCUUCGGUGUCCGAGUUGUAAUUUGAAGAAGGUAUCUUGGUUUGGCUUUGUCUAUUGUUCGUGUGAACAGGACGUCACAGAGGGUGAGAAUCCCGUGGCGACAAGUCGCCCCUCUCCUAGGAAAGCUCCUUCCAGCAGAUCAAUGUGUUGGGAAUGCGCUCUAGGGGGGGGUAAAUUCCAUCAAAGCUUAAAUAUUGCGAGAGCGUUGGCGACAGUACUGUGAAGAAAGAUGGAAGAACUGGAAAGAGAGUGAAAAAGACUGUGAAUUGUUGCGAGCUGGAGUCAACUGGUUCACACGCAGCAUCAUUGUAGCGAUAUAUCAAAUGGCACGUCGGUGCUAACUUUGGAACCGCGCCCAUUGAACGCCUUCAAAGUGGAUGACUCACCCCUUAAAACACA